AGAGAGGUGGCCGAGUGGUCGAAGGCGCACGCCUGGAAAGUGUGUAUACAUCUAAAGUGUAUCGAGGGUUCGAAUCCCUUCCUCUCUG
rnacentral:tRNA from 2 species